GGGUGCGAUCAUACCAGCACUAAUGCACUGGAUCCAAUCAGAACUCCGCAGGUAAGCGUUCUUUGGCGAGAGUAGUACUAGGAUGGGUGACCUCCUAGGAAGUCGUCGUGUUGCACCCC
rfam:Gossypium raimondii scaffold_1078_contig_1, whole genome shotgun sequence.